rnacentral:rRNA from 1 species
CACGCCAUAAACGAUGAGAACUAGGUGUAGCGGGUAUUGACCCCUGCUGUGCCGAAGUUAACGCAUUAAGUUCUCCGCCUGGGGAGUACGGCCGCAAGGCUAAAACUCAAAGGAAUUGACGGGGACCCGCACAAGCGGUGGAGCAUGUGGUUUAAUUCGACGCAACGCGAAGAACCUUACCUGGAUUUGACAUCCUUUGACCAUCCUGGAAACAGGAUUUUCCAUGCUUGCAUGGACAGAGUGACAGGUGCUGCAUGGCUGUCGUCAGCUCGUGUCGUGAGAUGUUGGGUUAAGUCCCGCAAACGAGCGCAAACCCCUGUUUUUAGUUUGCCCUUAUUAAGUUAGGCACUCUAAAGAUACUGCCUCGGUUAACGGG